AAGAGUUGCAAAACUCCCAACCAUUGCUAAACAACCACUGUCUCUUCGGCGGGUGGCCGCAUGGCCGCGCGCACCCCUCUCGGGGGGGACGCACCCCGCCGGAGCACACCAAACUCUUGUCAUUAUUGAUGCUCUGAGUAAAAAAACAAAAUUAUUA
rnacentral:misc_RNA from 1 species